rnacentral:rRNA from 1 species
GGAACGAACGCUGGCGGCAUGCCUAAUACAUGCAAGUCGAACGAGACCUUCGGGUCUAGUGGCGCACGGGUGCGUAACGCGUGGGAAUCUACCCUUGGGUUCGGAAUAACAGUUGGAAACGACUGCUAAUACCGGAUGAUGACGAAAGUCCAAAGAUUUAUCGCCCAGGGAUGAGCCCGCGUAGGAUUAGCUAGUUGGUGAGGUAAAGGCUCACCAAGGCUAACGAUCCUUAGCUGGUCUGAGAGGAUGAUCAGCCACACUGGGACUGAGACACGGCCCAGACUCCUACGGGAGGCAGCAGUGGGGAAUAGUUAGCACAAGUGGGCGAAAGCCUGAUGCAGCGACGCGCGUGGGGGAUGGACGGUCGUUACGGAUUCGUAAACCCCUUUGAGUACGGGACGAAGCGUACAAGUGACGUACCUGCAGAAGAAGCGACCGGACUAACGUACGUGCCAGCAGCCGACGGUAAU